CCUUAGAGUUUGAUCCUGGCUCAGAACGAACGCUGGCGGCGUGCUUAACACAUGCAAGUCGAACGUGAUUGAGAGCUUGCUCUCAUGAAAGUGGCGCACGGGUGAGUAACACGUGGAUAAUCUGCCUGGCGAUUCGGGAUAACACUUCGAAAGGGGUGCUAAUACCGGAUAAGCCCACGGUCUCUUCGGAGAGUGCGGGAAAAGGGGGCCUCUGUAUAUGCUCCUGUCGCUAGAUGAGUC
rnacentral:rRNA from 1 species